rfam:Myotis davidii contig212771, whole genome shotgun sequence.
GGUGGUUCUUGGGUGACACACCCCGAAAUAGGGCUCCCUCCCCUCUGGUUCUGGGUGCAUCACCCGAGAAUUGCA